AGAACGAACGCUGGCGGCAUGCCUAAUACAUGCAAGUCGAACGAACUCUUCGGAGUUAGUGGCGCACGGGUGCGUAACGCGUGGGAAUCUGCCCCUUGGUUCGGAAUAACAGUUGGAAACGACUGCUAAUACCGGAUGAUGACGAAAGUCCAAAGAUUUAUCGCCAAGGGAUGAGCCCGCGUAGGAUUAGCUAGUUGGUGAGGUAAAGGCUCACCAAGGCAACGAUCCUUAGCUGGUCUGAGAGGAUGAUCAGCCACACUGGGACUGAGACACGGCCCAGACUCCUACGGGAGGCAGCAGUAGGGAAUAUUGGACAAUGGGCGAAAGCC
rnacentral:rRNA from 1 species